rnacentral:rRNA from 1 species
CUUCGGGUGAAGGUGGCGGACGGGUGAGUAACGCGUAAAGAACUUGCCUUACAGACUGGGACAACAUUUGGAAACGAAUGCUAAUACCGGAUAUUAUGAUUGGGUCGCAUGAUCUGGUUAUGAAAGCUAUAUGCGCUGUGAGAGAGCUUUGCGUCCCAUUAGUUAGUUGGUGAGGUAACGGCUCACCAAGACGAUGAUGGGUAGCCGGCCUGAGAGGGUGAACGGCCACAAGGGGACUGAGACACGGCCCUUACUCCUACGGGAGGCAGCAGUGGGGAAUAUUGGACAAUGGACCAAAAGUCUGAUCCAGCAAUUCUGUGUGCACGAAGAAGUUUUUCGGAAUGUAAAGUGCUUUCAGUUGGGAAGAAGUCAGUGACGGUACCAACAGAAGAAGCGACGGCUAAAUACGUGCCAGCAGCCGCGGUAAUACGUAUGUCGCAAGCGUUAUCCGGAUUUAUUGGGCGUAAAGCGCGUCUAGGCGGCUUAGUAAGUCUGAUGUGAAAAUGCGGGGCUCAACCCCGUAUUGCGUUGGAAACUGCUAAACUAGAGUACUGGAGAGGUAGGCGGAACUACAGGUGUAGAGGUGAAAUUCGUAGAUAUUUGUAGGAAUGCCGAUGGGGAAGCCA